AGCUUUGCGCAGUAGCAGUAUCGUAGCCAAUGAGGUUUAUCCGAGGCGCGAUUAUUGCUAAUUGAGACUAUGGUGCAUGUGGAAAUAUGUUGCUAUAUGGAAGUAAAAUAUAAAAAUAUUAGUGGUUUUUUUUAAAG